ACCAAGAUAGCUCAGUUGGUAGAGCAUAAUACUAUUAAUCUCAGGGUCGUGGGUUCAAGCCACACAUUGGGCA